GGGGGGGGGUGUAUUUACAUGUUAAAAAAAAUUGGGUGCUGAAUCUUUAUGUUAUUAGUAGUGAUUUGGUCCAGUUCAAAAAGGUCAAAUUUUAUCACGCCUGAAGCUGUCAAACUGAAUUUUACACCUCCUUAACACAGAAUUGUCAAUAUUUUGAGUUAGAGCUGGUAGAAGUUUCUAUAAUUUUGAUAUUAUUUGUCCCACUGGUAGAACACUACACUGUAAAAAUCUUUUUGAGAAAGAGCAGCUGCGAUUUUUUAAAUUUGAAUUUAUUGUCUAAAAGAAAUGCACUACGAAAUAACUGUGUUCUCGGGCCAACUGAUUUAUUUAUUAAGAAACGUCUGGUAUACCUUAUAUACUUACAUAUAGAUCCAUAUACAAUGAAGGUUGUAGAAAAAUGGUAGAUCCGAAGGUUUUGACCAUCAAAAUUGUGCAUUAGAAAUAAUAUUUAGGACCAGAAGAUGUUCUUCAUGGAGCACCAUAGAAAAACG
rnacentral:lncRNA from 1 species